rnacentral:tRNA from 1 species
UUGGUAGCUCAGCUGGAUAGAGCAACUGCCUUCUAAGCAGUCGGUCGGGGGUUCGAGUCCCCCCC